AUUGAACGCUGGCGGCAGGCCUAACACAUGCAAGUCGAGCGAGCGGCGCACGGGUGAGUAAAGUAUGGGGACUGUCCCAGAGAGGGGGAUAACUACUGUAAACGGUUGCUAAUACCGCACACUACCGGAUAACCCCUAUGGGAUUAGCUCGUAGGUGAGGUAAUGGCUCACCUAGGCGACGAUCCCUAGCUGGUCUGAGAGGAUGUUCAGCCACACUGGGACUGAGACACGGCCCAGACUCCUACGGAGGCAGCAGUGGGGAAUAUUGCACAAUGGGCGCAAGCCUGAUGCAGCCAUGCCGCGUGUAUGAAGAAGGCCCUAGGGUUGUAAAGUACUUUCAGUCGGGAGGCGUUACCGACAGAAGAAGCACCGGCUAACUCCGUGCCAGCAGCCGCGGUAAUAC
rnacentral:rRNA from 1 species